UGGCGAACGGGUGAGUAACACGUGGGUAAUCUGCCCUGCACUCUGGGAUAAGCCUGGGAAACUGGGUCUAAUACUGGAUAUGACCUUUCUACUUAUGGGGUUCGGUGGAAAGUUUUUCGGUGUAGGAUGAGCCCGCGGCCUAUCAGCUUGUUGGUGGGGUGAUGGCCUACCAAGGCGACGACGGGUAGCCGGCCUGAGAGGGUGAUCGGCCACAUUGGGACUGAGAUACGGCCCAG
rnacentral:rRNA from 1 species